rnacentral:rRNA from 1 species
AAUCAACGCUGGCGGCGUGCCUCAGACAUGCAAGUCGAACGCGAAAGUCCCCUUCGGGGGGCGAGUAGAGUGGCGCACGGGUGAGUAACACGUAGGUAAUCUACCCCCGAGUGGGGAAUAACUCAGGGAAACUUGAGCUAAUACCGCAUAAUGCAGCGGCACCACAUGGUGACAGUUGUUAAAGCAUUUAUGCGCUUGGGGGAGGAGCCUGCGGCAGAUUAGCUAGUUGGUAAGGUAAUGGCUUACCAAGGCUACGAUCUGUAACCGGCCUGAGAGGGCGGACGGUCACACUGACACUGAAUAACGGGUCAGACUCCUACGGGAGGCAGCAGUCGGGAA